UACGUAGGGUGCAAGCGUUAAUCGGAAUUACUGGGCGUAAAGCGUGCGCAGGCGGUUUUCUAAGUCUGUCGUGAAAUCCCCGGGCUUAACCUGGGAAUGGCGUUGGAGACUGCGAGGCUAGAGUUUGGCAGAGGGGGGUAGAAUUCCACGUGUAGCAGUGAAAUGCGUAGAGAUGUGGAGGAACACCGAUGGCGAAGGCAGCACCCUGGGUCAAAACUGACGCUCAGGCACGAAAGCGUGGGGAGCAAACAGG
rnacentral:rRNA from 1 species